rnacentral:rRNA from 1 species
UACAGAGGUCUCAAGCGUUGUUCGGAUUCAUUGGGCGUAAAGGGUGCGUAGGUGGCGCGGUAAGUCGGGUGUGAAAUUUCGGAGCUUAACUCCGAAACUGCAUUCGAUACUGCCGUGCUUGAGGACUGGAGAGGAGACUGGAAUUUACGGUGUAGCAGUGAAAUGCGUAGAUAUGCGGAGGAACACCGAUGGCGAAGGCAAUCCCCUGGGCCUGCACUGACGCUCAUGCACGAAAGCGUGGGGAGCAAACAGG